rnacentral:rRNA from 1 species
UACGAAGGGGGCUAGCGUUGUUCGGAAUUACUGGGCGUAAAGGGCGCGUAGGCGGUGUGUCAAGUCAGGCGUGAAAGCCCCGGGCUCAACCUGGGAACCGCGCUUGAGACUGGCACACUCGAGUUCGGGAGAGGAUGGUGGAAUUCCCAGUGUAGAGGUGAAAUUCGUAGAUAUCGGGAGGAACACCAGUGGCGAAGGCGACUACCUGGCCCGAUACUGACGCUGAGGUGCGAAAGCGUGGGGAGCAAACAGGGAUUAAGAAAC